UACGUAUGGUGCAAGCGUUAUCCGGAUUUACUGGGCGUAAAGGGAGCGCAGGCGGUGCGCCAAGUCUGAUGUGAAACCCCGGGGCUCAACCCCGGGCAUGCAUUGAAAACUGGCGGGCUGGAGUGCCGGAGAGGUAAGCGGAAUUCCUAGUGUAGCGGUGAAAUGCGUAGAUAUUAGGAGGAACACCAGUGGCGAAGGCGGCUUACUGGACGGCAACUGACGCUGAGGCUCGAAAGCGUGGGGAGCAAACAGG
rnacentral:rRNA from 1 species